rnacentral:rRNA from 1 species
AGUGAACGCUGGCGGCAGGCCUAACACAUGCAAGUCGAGCGGCAGCGGGUCCCCGCGAGGGGAUGCCGGCGAGCGGCGGACGGGUGAGGAACACAUCGGAAUCUGCCUGGUUGUGGGGGAUAACGUAGGGAAACUUACGCUAAUACCGCAUGCGACCCUGAGUCGACGGACUUGGGGUGAAAGUGAGGGACCUUCGGGCCUCACGCGACCAGAUGAGCCGAUGUCGGAUAGCUAGUUGGCGGGGUAACGGCCCGCCAAGGCGACGAUCCGUAGCUGGUCUGAGAGGAUGAUCAGCCACACUGGGACUGAGACACGGCCCAGACUCCUACGGAGGCAGCAGUGGGAAUCUUGGACAAUGGCGCAAGCCUGAUCCAGCCAUGCCGCGUGGGUGAAG